GGAUCUUCUCCUCCUGCUCGCCCUCGUCCUUGAAGGCCAACAUCUCGUCCGUGGCCCCCAGGUCGUCCCCGCCGCCGCUGCCCAGCUGCGGCAUUUUCCUCCCGCCGCUCCCUCACGGGCCGCGCAGUAACUUUCCCGAUGAUCCUCUUGUUUUGCAUGUGAAAAAAAUCGUCUGAGAUUUACAGCCCUCCCAAAUGGAGAUAAAGCCUUGGCAAUGAGUUGGAAACCUGUUGUAAUCUGUGAUCCAGGAAACAAAGAGCCUCAUUAAUGCAGAGACUUUGAUGUUACUUCUUUCCCAUCCUAACUGAUGGCUUUCUGGAGACACUGACAACAAGCCAGGGUGAGCCUGUCAGCAUCGUACUUCUCUGUGCUUCAGACUGGAAAUAAAAGGAAAGUGAGGAAAGAAGCCGUUCCAUCCCAAAUUACGGGCUCUUUGGGUGCCAGCCUGCAAUCCUGCUCAGCCAGGAGACUCUGUCCUCUAGCAGGACUGGGACUCUAUAUUACACCCUGUUGGAAGCCUGACCUCAGUGCUCUCAUUGGAAACCUCACAGGAUGCUACAGUGCUCCUGACUGAGGAAAAGUGCUUGGAUAAAGAUGCUCCAGUCAAUGGUCACUGGUUGCUGUGAAGGCCAUUAAAUCAUACCUCUGAUGGAUGCACUUUCAGUGCCUAUAGAAUAAGGGUCCCUAAACAGCAGAUAAACAUGUGUCCAAAGCACCAGCUAGCAACAGAAGCAGCUCCAAUAUCUGAUUUCAUGCCCUGUAGCUGGCCUUCAACAUCCUUUCAUUCUUUCAAAUACCUGAAGUUACUUUCCAGGGUCUUAAAUUUGUUCCUGUUGAAGGGAUCUGCCCUGGUAAAUGUCUGGUUUUGUGGGUUUGGGUUCUUUUUUUUGCUCUGGAAUAUGUCAAGAUGUUGGAAAAGGUGUGGGGUUGCUUUUGUAAGCUCUCUAUAUAGAGUUCUGAAAAAAACCCUACUUUAUUUAACUAGAAAAUGCAAUAGAAAUUAAAUACUUGAACAGGGAUGUUAAUACCUA